AUUAAGGUUUACUUUCACGUGUGUUUUCAAACUUUCACAAUUUGUGAAACUUUGAAAACACAAGUGAAAUUAAACCUUAAUUUUAUGA